ensembl:lncRNA
GUGAGUCCCAGAAAGGCCCUGGCUAUUGCCAAGCCGGUGGCCUACUGCCGCGCCGCUAUGGCCCCUGGUUAAUGUGCACUUGGCGGCUUAGGUGUCCGCGGGGGAAAAUCGACUUUGGCUGCCCCAGGGGCCGACGCAAGUCUAGAGCAGCUUCAGGCAGUUCCCGUACUCUAGCACAGCCCCAGCCUCUGAGGGUUGUCGUCAAAUAAACGAGAUAAAGCAGGCGAAUUACUCAGCACAGUGUCUGACGCACGGUGCGUGACUGCUUACAGAAUAGAUGAAACUGAUGCCUUAGGGGUCAGACGUGUGGUGGAGACGCAGCUGGAUGGACAUCAGAAGAGAAGGGGUCCCUUCAUCCAUUGCCGCUGCCAGUGCCCGCAAGGCUGGCUCAGACCAGGGAGUCCUGUGCAGUCUGCUCUCCUCCUCCGAAUGGGUCAGAAGUUAGAAGUUACAGGAAAAACGUUUCAGAGCAAAAGCCACACCCUGCCCAGAAAAAAACAAUUCCUGUCCACUGCUCAGCUCAGCAGCAAAAACGAAACUAGUGACUCGAAUUUCAAAUCACUACAAGGGAUAGAUACAUUGGAAAAACUGCAACUGAGGACGAAGAGGUUAAAAAAAUCUUCCCUGGGCAAGAAGAAGAGAACAAAACCUUUGAGAUAAGCUUUCCUAACGCAGCUGUGCAUAUCCAGCAUGAUCAACGGUUGUUCAAAAGUAACCAGGUCUUUCUGUCCCUCCCUCGUAUGUGAGUGAGCAUCUUUCCCAGGAAGUCAAGGUCCAGACAUGGAGAUUCAGCCUCGCAAGGCCAAAUGCAAGUUGAAGAUGAAAACAAACCAGAAAAGUCCAGAUGGUCAGGGAAAAGAAAAUUCAGUCUUCAAGGCCAAACGCAGGCUGCUGGGGAGGCACCAACCAGCACAGCCACUUGGUUCCCAUUCCCACCUAAAACUCCAGCAUGUGCUCCCCCUCUCCCACCUAAAACUCUAGAUAAAAACCUCUACCUCUUUCCCUUCAAGGAGGUGGAUCUGAGUUCUAACUCCCAUCUCCUCAUCUGGCUGCCUUUUGAUAAUAGUAAACCUCUUUCCUUGCCACAAGCCUGGUGUUUCAGUUUUUUUCUUUAUUGGCCCUACUAU